AAGCACCAUGGAUGACGAAUUUCAAGGUACCAGCUCUCAGUCUGUGAGCUUAUCUGAAGAUGAUGGGACAGAUGACUGGAUACCCACACAGGAUGAAUCUGAAGGCUAUUCAGAAGAGGAGGAAGAACAAGAACAUAAAAGGAUUCCUAAGAUGCUGGCAGCAUCUGAAGAGGAUGGGACACAUGAUAGUAGACCCACACAGGAUGAAUCUAAAGAUGAUUCAAAAGAUGAAGCAGAACAUUUGGGACAAAUGAUUCACAAAGUGGCCAUGGAAAAGGGGGCGUUUGUGAGCAGUGAGUUGCCGCAGAGGACAGAGGAACAGCAACAGGUUGCUGGCAUCUCUAAGACUCAAAGGCAUCACAAUGUCAGAAAUAGACACAAGUGUCCCAUAUGUGGACAUGUAUAUGCUGAUAUUGUUCAGCACCUAAGAGUCACAGAGAAAGUGGUAAAUGAAAUUGAGCUGCUUCUUUUGAGCCAAUUUUCUCAUCGGCACUUUUCUGCAAAUCUGGACUGUCCAGUCCGCUUAUGUCAGUCAAAACAUCUUAAUCGGCUUGAUAAGCACCUGGAAAAGGUCCACAAAUUACAGAAACCUAUGAUUAAACUUUACAUGCAAAAGGCCAAGGACAGAUGCGUUGCUAAGGAACUUGCACUUCUGAGGGCAUCAAAUCCCACACUGCAAAUGGUCUCACAUGUGGGUGAAGUGGAUUAUACAGUGAUUGAGGAGGGCAUCUUUAGGGCACUGGAGGCAAGGUCCAAGGUUGCAUCCCCUAUAGCCUCUUCCAGCAACGCUCCCAGUGACCAUGCUACCCUGAACCAUUGGCCUGCUCCUCCCUCUGACAGCAAGGCUCUGGGUGACUCUACCAGACCAAACCUACAGCCUCCUCUCUCUACCCGUGACCCUCUCAGUGACCACACCAUCCCAAUUAUGCAGCCUCCUUCUAUCUCCACCAGCAAGAUUACUUGUGAUUCAACAGUGGUGUCCCCUGAUUUGUUAAUCCCUUACUAUGCAGCAAAGCAAAGGAGGGAAUGUCUUCUCCCGAGGACACCUGCUCCUGGUUGCAAAAACUGUCAGAUACUGUUCACUGAGCUACAGGUGGUGAAGCAGUUGCUAGAGUGUGAAAUUGAAAGGAAUCAUGAGCUCAAGCAGAUACAUUCUUCAACCAAGCAUCCAAAUGUUAAAUAUAGCAGACGUAAACGGUUUUCACCCAGCAAAGCCCCUCACUAUGUAAGACUGGUGGAAGAAUUUAGGGCCCAUGCAGAAGGUGUGAACCCUAGCAUAGAACUACAUGAAAAUGCAAGGCAGCGAGCCACUCAUGUCAUCCGGUUUCUGGAAUUCAUGGCAGACCCAGCAAUUCCAAACGUUGACCUUCUGUUUCUGAGGAACCAUGGAAAAGUCCGUGAUUUUCUAGCACACCUGCAAGCAAAAGGGUUUAAACCAACAACUCAGAGAGCUUAUCUCAUGGAUGCUAUUGCUUUCAUGAAAUAUAUAUUAAACAUGUCACCACCACAAGUCAGACUUGGAAAUAAAAGGAUCAACGCCCUUUUGGUCGAACUGAGGGCACGUAACAGAGAUGUUGGCCGUGAAGUAGUCGUGCACCAGCUGAAUGUGCGGAGAUCUAAGUCUAAAAGACUUGUCAAAGCAGAAAAACAUGCUUUGUUCAUUGAAGAGGCUCCCCAGAAGAUUGCUGCCGCACUGGAUGACCUCGAGAAGCAACCCCAGAACAGAACAAUAUUGAAAUUGUUUUUUGGACUGUUGGGUGGAUACCUCAUUGCCAUAACUGGCCACCGAAAGGGAGUGGUCAUCAACAUGACUACUGAGGAGGUUGAAAUGGCAGAAAAAACUAAGCAGGGUGCCCGCAUCAUCCGUGUUAAACAGCACAAAACUCAAAGAUACCAUGGGGAAGCAGCUGUCCCCCUGUACAAGAAUGAGUAUACCUGGUUGCAGCGUUACAAUCAUAUUAGAGAGUAUAUUGAAGGGGGUUCGGAGGCAUCAACUUUUUUCCACAGUUCCAGUGGAGGUGUUCUUCAUAGACUACUGGAAUUUUUCAAGGCAGCCUGGGAGAUGAUGAAUCUGGGGAUUGCCCCCACCUUCAACAUGAUACGUUCCUCCUGUAGCACUUACGCCAAGCGACAGUUGGGACGUAAAUCUUAUGACAGAGUGGCAACGUUUAUGUGCCAUGAUGCCAUCACAGCCAAAAGAUUUUACCAAGCUGAGGACCCUGCAGAGGACACACUCCAGAGCCGAGCACUGACCACCCAUGCAAUUGCAACAUAUGCAGCAAAGAAAAGGAAAAGGACAGAGGACAGAGGAUCUGUGCAGGACAAGGACAGUGAAGGAUCUGACAAGGAAGAGCAGCAGUCAUCAGGAACAGAGGAGCUUUUAGACAGAAGGCUCUUCCAGUGUAACAGUAACAAGAUGGUCAUCUUUUACAAAAAUGAUAGGACAGGUGUGGGGAAACUCACACAAGAAGACAAUCCACAAGAGGAGGAGGAGGAUGAAGCGAGAGAAUGGGUUCCUAAGUCUGUUAGCUCAUCUGAAGAUGAUGGGACAGAUGACUGGACACCCACACAGGAUGAAUCUGAAGGCUAUUCAGAAGAGGAGGAAGAACAAGAACAUAAAAGGAUUCCUAAGAUGGCAGCAGCAUCUGAAGAGGAUGGGACACAUGAUAGCAGACCCACACAGGAUGAUUCAAAGGAUGAAGCAGAACAUUUGGGACAAAUGAUUCACAAAGUGUCCAUGGAAAAGGACAGGGAAACGGCGAUAAGCUUAUUACCAGUACAACACCAAAUUCCAGUUGUUACUCUGAAUUCAGUCACUCUCAAGACACCCAUGAAGGACAAGGUCGCACUGGAGGUCCCUCCUGGUAUGCAGCAGGCCUAUGUAAACCAAGACACAGCAAUGACUGUGAAUAAGAGUUCAGAAAAAAGUGUGAUUCACCAAACCAGUUACUUGAAGAGGCUCAUUUUUCAUCAGUCAACUCUCUUUGAAGACACCAUACCAAGAUCUGAUAACAACAAGAAAGACCAAAGUGGAAUGUCAUCUGCAGCAAUAAUAACCUCAGAACAACUGGAAGAGAAAGAGAUACAAGAAGAAUCUCUGGAGAAGAUGAAGUGUGAAGACAAAGGAGGGAAGAGAAAAGAAAAAGUACAGCAGGAGCCUCUGGAGAAGAUGAGGGGCAAAAGGCAAAGGAAGGAAGAAAAGAUACAGGCAGAGCCUCUGGAGAAGAUGAAGAGUGAAGCCAAAGUAGGAAAGAGAAAAGAAAAAGUACAGCAGGAGCCUCUGGAGAAGAUGAGGAGCAAAAGGCAAAGGAAGGAAGAAAAGAUACAGGCAGAGCCUCUGGAGAAGAGAAUUAAGAUUAUGAAAUAAAAGAAGGAAAAAUCCACAGAGUUCUCAAAGAAAUGGCGAGAGAAAGUCUCAGAAAAUAAGGUGCAUGAAAGAGUUGUUAAUUAAAAGUGAUCAUCUA
ensembl:lncRNA